rnacentral:tRNA from 1 species
GCAUGUAAAGGAUAACAGUCUAUCCAUUGGUCUUAGGAACCAAAAACUCUUGGUGCAAAUCCAAGUUCAUGCU